AGCAGUCGCCGCGGUAAAACGAAGGGUGCAAGCGUUAAUCGCAAUUACUGGGCGUAAAGCGUGCGUAGGCGGUGAGUUAAGUCUGCUGUGAAAUCCCCGGGCUCAACCUGGGAAUGGCAGUGGAUACUGGCUCGCUAGAGUGUGUCAGAGGAUGGUGGAAUUCCCAGUGUAGAGGUGAAAUUCGUAGAUAUUGGGAAGAACACCGGUGGCGAAGGCGGCAACCUGGCUCAUUACUGACGCUGAGGCGCGAAAGCGUGGGGAGCAAACAGGAUUAGAUACCCCCGUAGUCCCUGUCUCUUAUAC
rnacentral:rRNA from 1 species